AUUGAACGCUGGCGGCAGGCUUAACACAUGCAAGUAGAGCGGGGGGAGGUAGCUUGCUACCGGACCUAGCGGCGGACGGGUGAGUAAUGCUUAGGAAUCUGCCUAUUAGUGGGGGACAACAUCUCGAAAGGGAUGCUAAUACCGCAUACGUCCUACGGGAGAAAGCAGGGGAUCUUCGGACCUUGCGCUAAUAGAUGAGCCUAAGUCGGAUUAGCUAGUUGGUGGGGUAAAGGCCUACCAAGGCGACGAUCUGGAGCGGGUCUGAGAGGAUGAUCCGCCACACUGGGACUGAGACACGGCCCAGACUCCUACGGGAGGCAGCAGUGGGGAAUAUUGGACAAUGGGGGGAACCCUGAUCCAGCCAUGCCGCGUGUGUGAAGAAGGCCUUAUGGUUGUAAAGCACUUUAAGCGAGGAGGAGGCUACUUUAGUUAAUACCUAGAGAUAGUGGACGUUACUCGCAGAAUAAGCACCGGCUAACUCUGUGCCAGCCGCCGCCGUAA
rnacentral:rRNA from 1 species